ACGGCGGUGGACAUUCACAUUACGGAGGCAUCCGGCAUUGAGGGGCAACCAGUUCAUAUCCGCAUUUGUCAGUGUAUUCAUCUUUUCAUGCUGUAAAAUCAUUCAAUGUGGUCAGACUCUCAACUUGAAUUCAUCUCAGGAGACUGUUUUUCAGCGCAUUCCUUUGGUAUGCGCUACCGUUUUGGUUCGCAACAGAUGGCGCGUCAAUUAUCUUGUUUCGUGCUUUGUAAGCGACCUAGUUCAUAACAGAGAUUUAUGACCGUUACCGGUGUAUUUCUUUGAGGGAGUUUAUUGUUGAUAAAGUAGAUGAAAAGAAGUUUGGUACCUAAAGUGGAGGUCAUGACUUGCUCCCAGUGCACGGGUAGGGAACUCGGUUGCUCGAGAGCCAUACGCUGCUUGUUUUUGAUCCCUCCCUACUCCAACACACCAGGAUUCAAUUGUUCGUGAUCGCGUCAAGCCUCUUCAGAGCUGAUCAUUUCAAUCAGGUGUGUUGGGAGUAGGGAGGGAUCGAAAACAGGCAGGGUGUGGCUCUCGAGGAACCGCCAAUGUCGAAUGGCUCUGCAAGUUUAACAAAAGAUGCAAUACCUAACGGCCUGGUCCCUGACCCGCAGACAGCAACUCAGCCAAAGACAGAAACGUUAACCGUGCGCACUUCUUGGCCAGGUAGCAGAUGGCGUCGUCCUUCAGCCGGCAGCAUCCGCUGAGGUCGAGCG